GAUGAACGCUGGCGGCGUGCCUAAUACAUGCAAGUCGAGCGAACAGACGAGGAGCUUGCUCCUCUGACGUUAGCGGCGGACGGGUGAGUAGCACGUGGAUAACCUACCUAUAAGACUGGGAUAACUUCGGGAAACCGGAGCUAAUACCGGAUAAUAUAUUGAACCGCAUGGUUCAAUAGUGAAAGACGGUUUUGCUGUCACUUAUAGAUGGAUCCGCGCCACAUUAGCUAGUUGGUAAGGUAACGGCUUACCAAGGCAACGAUGCGUAGCCGACCUGAGAGGGUGAUCGGCCACACUGGAACUGAGACACGGUCCAGACUCCUACGGGAGGCAGCAGUAGGGAAUCUUCCGCAAAGGGCGAAAGCCUGACGGAGCAACGCCGCGUGAGUGAUGAAGGUCUUCGGAUCGUAAAACUCUGUUAUUAGGGAGGAACAAAUGUGUAAGUAACUAUGCACGUCUUGACGGUACCUAAUCAGAAAGCCACGGCUAACUACGUG
rnacentral:rRNA from 1 species